rnacentral:rRNA from 1 species
AUUCCAGCUCCAAUAGCGUAUAUUUAAGUUGUUGCAGUUAAAAAGCUCGUAGUUGGAUUUCGGUUGAGAACGGCCGGUCCGCCGUUUGGUGUGCACUGGCUGGUUUCAACUUCCUGUAGAGGACGCGCUCUGGCUUCAUCGCUGGACGCGGAGUCUACGUGGUUACUUUGAAAAAAUUAGAGUGUUCAAAGCGGGCUUACGCUUGAAUAUUUCAGCAUGGAAUAACACUAUAGGACUCCUGUCCUAUUUCGUUGGUCUCGGGACGGGAGUAAUGAUUAAGAGGAACAGUUGGGUGCAUUCGUAUUUCAUUGUCAGAGGUGAAAUUCUUGGAUUUAUGAAAGACGAACUUCUGCGAAAGCAUUUGCCAAGGAUGUUUUCAUUG